GUAAACACCGCUACCUGAGUCAAUCACUCACUCUCAUGCUCAGGAACGCUGUGAAAAUGCCAAAAAGUAAACUUUUGGAGGCAGCGAGGAACGGACUUAAAAGUAGACACAACAUUUAAGGAUACAGAAGCAUUACAGGACCACAAAGAACAUGAAAACGGGGAUUCUUGAAGUGGUGAAGGAGAGUGCUGUUUUAUCAAGAUCACUGUCCAGUGCAGUCAAUGUUGCAGUUGUAAUUGAAGAAGAAGUAGUAAUGGACAACCUGUCCCACUACACUAAUGCCUUCAAGACACCAAACCAUCCAAACUGGUUUUUAUUCCACCUUAAAAAUUAGCAAUUACAUUUAGGUGCUAAGUUGACUUGUAAUUUGUAGUUGCCCGUGCACCCUAAAACUACAUUUAGGCUCUACUUACAUUUUCUAAUGUAAAUUGUUUCAAUUACACACUAUAACAUGUAUAACUUGUCAUUUGUUUGCUGCUUGUGAAUGCUGAAUGUAUUGUUUAUAUGAUACAUGCAAAUAAAAUGUAUUUGUUAAGAAUUUA